rnacentral:rRNA from 1 species
GAAAGAAUAUCGGAGACGGAUGGGCAUGCGGCGCAUUAGCUAGUUGGCGGGGUAACGGCCCACCAAGGCGACGAUGCGUAGGGGUUCUGAGAGGAAGGUCCCCCACACUGGUACUGAGACACGGACCAGACUCCUACGGGAGGCAGCAGUGAGGAAUAUUGGUCAAUGGGCGAGAGCCUGAACCAGCCAAGUCGCGUGAGGGAGUACUGCCCUAUGGGUUGUAAACCUCUUUUGUCGGGGAGCAAAAGCCGGACGUGUCCGUCUGUGAGAGUACCCGAAGAAAAAGCAUCGGCUAACUCCGUGCCAGCAGCCGCGGUAAUACGGAGGAUGCGAGCGUUAUCCGGAUUUAUUGGGUUUAAAGGGUGCGCAGGCGGAUUUUUAAGUCAGCGGUCAAAUCGUGGGGCUCAACCCCAUCCAGCCGUUGAAACUGGGGAUCUAGAGUGUGCGAGAGGUAUGCGGAAUGCGUGGUGUAGCGGUGAAAUGCAUAGAUAUCACGCAGAACCCCGAUUGCGAAGGCAGCAUACCGGUGCACAACCGACGCUCAGGCACGAAAGCGUGGGUAUCGAACAGGAUUAGAUACCCUGGUAGUCCACGCAGUAAACGAUGAAUGCUACCUGUUUGGCCAGAUUGAAGGCUGA